rnacentral:rRNA from 1 species
UACGAAGGGUGCAAACGUUGCUCGGAAUCAUUGGGCGUAAAGAGCUCGUAGGCGGUCUGUCGCGUCGGAUGUGAAAAUCAGGGCUCAACCCUGGACCUGCAUUCGAUACGGGCAGACUAGAGUUCGGUAGGGGAGACGUGGAAUUCUGGUGUAGCGGUGAAAUGCGCAGAUAUCAGGAGGAACACCGGUGGCGAAGGCGGGUCUCUGGGCCGAAACUGACGCUGAGGAGCGAAAGCGUGGGGAGCAAACAGG